AUAUAAAUAUAACAUAUAUAAUAUACAUUCAUAAUGAAAGUUAUUGCACGUUGUAAUACAUUAUUGUGUUCUAAUUUAUAUUAUAAAUAUUAUUGCAAUAAAUUUUCUACUCAGUUAUCAGAUUUUCCAAAAACUUUUAAUUGUAAAAAAAUAGAACAUGAAUGGUAUUACAUUUGGGAAAAAAAUGAUUAUUUUACUCUUAAAAAUAAUAAGAAAGUAGCAUUGAAAAUGCUUUUACCUCCUCCUAAUAUAACAGGAACAUUGCAUUUGGGACAUGCAUUAACUGUUACAAUUCAAGAUAUAUUAGCAAGAUGGUAUAGGAUGAAAGGACAUCCUGUAAUAUGGAUACCAGGUUUUGAUCAUGCUGGAAUUGCUACACAAAUGAUGGUAGAAAAAUAUCUUUUUAAAACUAAAGGUAUUAAUAAAUCAGAUAUAGGAAAAGAUAAAUUUCUUUCAUAUAUUUGGCAAUGGAAAAAUGAAAAGGAAAAUAUUAUAAAAUCUCAAUUAAAAGCUUUAGGUGCUAGUUUGGAUUGGUCUCGAGAAUAUUUUACAAUGAGUAAGAAUCAUAAUAAUGCUGUGAUAGAAGCAAUUGUUACAUUAAAUAAUCGAAACUUACUAUAUAGGAAAAAAGAUUUGAUUAAUUGGUCUUCUACUUUACGUAGUACAAUAUCAGAUAUUGAAGUUGAACAUUUAUAUGUUACUGAAAAAACACAGCUUCAAGUUCCAGGAUAUGAAAAAAGGAUUACAUUUGGUGAAAUAGCAUAUAUAGCUUAUCCUGUGAAAGAUUCAAAACAUGAGAUAAUAGUGGCAACUACUAGACCAGAAACUGUUUUUGGAGAUGUAGCAAUUGCUGUUCAUCCAGAUGAUGAAAGAUAUGCAAAGUAUAUUGGUCAACAAGUCUGGCAUACUUUAAGACAAACAUAUAUACCUAUUAUUUCUGAUUAUUUAGUUGAUAAACAAUUUGGAACAGGUGCAAUAAAAGUAACACCUGCACAUGAUUCUUUAGAUUAUAUGAUUGCAAUGAAUCAUCAAUUAGAAAUUAUUGAAGUUAUUGAUGAAUAUGGAAAUAUAACAAAAGCAGGCAAACAAUUUGAAGGUUUGCCGAGAUUUAUUGUUCGAGAAAAAGUUUUAAAUGAACUAUCAAAUAAAGGUAUUUUAAAAAGUACUAGUGACCAUAAAAUGUGUAUACCAUUGUGUUCGCGAACUCACGAUGUUGUAGAAUAUCUACUCAAAGAACAAUGGUUUAUUAAAUGUAAAGAUAUGGCUCAAAAAGCUGUAGAAGCAGUAAAACAAGGUCAUUUAAAAAUAAUACCUAAUACUCAAGAAAUAUUGUGGUAUGAUUAUCUUAAUGAUAUCAGAGAUUGGUGUAUUUCAAGACAAAUAUGGUGGGGACAUUCUAUUCCCGCAUAUUAUAUUACAAUAGAAGAUAAAAUUGAAUGGAUAAUUGCUCGCACUGAAGAUGAUGCAAAAAUUAUUGCACAAAAUAAAUAUGGAUCAGAUAUUAAAUUAUAUAAAGAUCAAGAUGUAUUAGAUACAUGGUUUUCUUCUGCAAUACUUCCUUUUGCUAUAAUGGGGUGGCCAGAAAAGACUGAAGAUUUAAAAAAAUACUAUCCUUUAACAUUAAUGGAAACAGGAAGAGAUAUUCUUUUUUUUUGGGUUGCAAGAAUGGUAAUGCUAGGAUUGGAAUUAACUAAUUGUCUACCUUUUAAUGAAGUUUUAUUGCAUGGUCUUUUAUGUGAUGCUUAUGGAAAGAAAAUGUCUAAAACACUUGGAAAUAUUGUUUCUCCAGAAAAUAUCAUCAAUGGUAUUAGCUUAAAUGAUCUUACUGCACAAUUGAAAAAAAGUUACAAUAUAGGUAUUCUUAAUGAAGUUACAUUGAAACGGAUGUUAAAUGCAAAUAAUAAACUAUUUCCUAAUGGUAUACCAGAAUGUGGUGCAGAUGCAUUGCGUAUGACAUUAUCUAGUCACAAUAUUAAAAAUCAACACAUCAAUUUUAAUAUUAUGGAAUGUCAAACAAACAAAUAUUUUUUAAAUAAAAUUUGGCAAGCAAGCAAAUACAUAUUACUUAUGACAUAUGAAAAAACAUAUCAGAAACCUAUAAAUAUAACAAUUAUUGAUCAAUGGAUUUUAAGCAGAUUAUCUCUAAUGAUCAAUACAAUUAAUAAUGCACUUCUAGAACGAGAUUUCCAUAAAGCUAUUAUGUCAAUGAAACAAUUUUUAUAUUACGAAUUUUGUGAUUUUUAUUUGGAAGGAAGUAAAUGGGGAUUUAAAAGUGAAAAUAUAAAUACACAAGUAAGUCACACAUAUGUUUUAAGAAAGUGUUUAGAAGUAUUUUUACGUGCAUCUGCGCCUAUAAUACCAUAUCUGUGCGAUGAUUUGUAUAAAAGACUAUCAAAUAUAUUUCCGGAAUUUUUAUCAGUUUCGUCAUUAAUGGAAGCACAUUAUCCAAUACCAGAAGAAAUAAAAAAAUAAAUGAAAUCUUAAAAAUUAUAUUAGAAAUUAGAAGUAUCAUGGGUAAUAUUAGUAAGAAAUUAAAUCCAGAAAUUCACAUUAUAAUUAAUAAAUCUGAAGAUUUCAAUUUUUAUAAUGAUGUCAUCAAUUUGAUUAAAGGUGGAAGCAAAAUAUUCAAUAUUUUUAUAUUUUUAGAAAAGAAUUAUAUAGAACAUGAAAAUAGCGUUUGUCAUUCUUAUAGUCCUACUUGUACAAUAUCUAUUGUCAUAGAGGAUCUUUCUAUUUUAAAAGAACUU
rnacentral:misc_RNA from 1 species